UGAAGGCUAGUGUAACCUACCUGCACAUAUAAAUUUGAAUUAUAUAGUGGAAAUAAUAUCCCACCUUCAU
rnacentral:tRNA from 1 species